GAGUUUGAUCGUGGCUCAGAUUGAACGCUGGCGGCAUGCCUUACACAUGCAAGUCGAACGGCAGCAUGAUCUAGCUUGCUAGAUUGAUGGCGAGUGGCGAACGGGUGGGUAAUACAUCGGAACGUGCCCUGUAGUGGGGGAUAACUAGUCGAAAGAUUAGCUAAUACCGCAUACGACCUGAGGGUGAAAGUGGGGGACCGCAAGGCCUCAUGCUAUAGGAGCGGCCGAUGUCUGAUUAGCUAGUUGGUGGGUAAAGGCCCACCAAGGCGACGAUCAGUAGCUGGUCUGAGAGGACGAUCAGCCACACUGGGACUGAGACACGGCCCAGACUCCUACGGGAGGCAGCAGUGGGGAAUUUUGGACAAUGGGCGAAAGCCUGAUCCAGCAAU
rnacentral:rRNA from 1 species